GCAAAGUGGACAACCCUUAUCUGAUGUCAGAAAGCCACAUCCAAAACCUCUUGAAAGUUUCUUGAUGUGAGGAGGGAAGUAUGUAGAAAUGGAGAAUGGCUGGUUAUUAUUGAAGGAAUCCCUGAAUGUGUGAAACCCCUGUGGAGAACCAAAUUUGACUCGACUCACUGCAGACGUUUGGUAUAUGGAUGGGUUACCUGUUCCUGCAAACCAGGCUACCAGCUGGCAGCUGUUGAGAAUGGUGUAGAUACAUGUGUUGAUACAGAAAUCAUUCAAGAUGGAGGAUACUGCAGUCUUAAACCCUGUCCUGUGGGAUAUGAAUGCAGAGACAUUGAACACUAUCGGUUCGAUUGCAUCAAAGGAAAUUUUGUUGUACCAAACUGGGCCCAGACACUUCCUAGUAGGAUGCACAUCUUUCAAAGUAUGCUCCGAUCAGCAGCAUGAACCGCAAAUAGAGCCCAGCAACUGGAGAGCAACAGAUGCCUGAAUACCACGUUUUCCAUCUCACUUAGAUAUCCUUGACUCAUACAUCCUGUCUGAGCUAAUGUUAGUUUUCUGAUUGCAGUGUGUCUGGAGUCUCAACAAGGACCUAAGCAAUCCCAAAAGUUUCAAGUAGUACUUGUGCUGAUCUUGACCUUUCAGUCCUUGUUCAAUAGAACAAUUUCCUUCUGAGAUUCAAACUCUAAUUUCACAGACGGACACCCAUUCUAUGAAUUAAAGGUCUACCUUCCCUUAACUAAACUACUGAGACCAGAGGAGCUUGUUUACAUUUUAGGAAAGUGACUCAACCUACCAUAGUGUGAAAUUAGAAUGUCUCCUAAAAUUUCUUGUUCCAUCUUCCAGCAUUCCUAAUGUUCCCACUCUCUCUCUCAGUUGAAGGCCAAUCUACCUAUCCUAUUCUGUAUAAUCAAUCAAUCCAUGGUAUUUAUUGAAUGCUUACUGUGUGCAGAGCACUGUACUAAGCAUUUGGGAGAGUACAACAGAGUUGGUAAAAAAACGCUCCCUACCAAAGCAGAACUUGGUGAUACUGAGAACAAAAUAGCAUGUGGAUUCAAUCCUAAGGAUGAGGGGCAGAUAGAGGAAGUGCGAUGAAAUAUAUUAACCUUAUUCUCUCUAGGAUUAGCCUCUUAUUGAUAGCAAAAGAUAAUUUAGGAAUGCAGAUUAGGGAUAUAUAAUUAUUUAUAUGCCCUCUAAAUGCCCUUCUCAUCUCAUCCUCUAUGUUCCCUUCAAAAGAGUUAUAUUACUAAACAAGAAAGAAUGACUACAGAACUUAGUAAAUGACUCCUAAGCAGCCUGAAAGAAUAAAUAAGGCUCCCUUUUCACCUAGUUUAUUUAACUGUACUUCUGUUCUAAGAUGCUACUGAUGGUGAUAUCAUAUCCAGGUGUGAGUGAGGCUGUAAUAACUUGAGUGAGAGACAUUUCCCCACACUUUUUGCUUUGUUGAUGAUUAGUUAUGUUCAUUGUCUGCUCUGUUUUUUAUUUUACCUCUUGCAACCAUUAUCAGCUGAAAGCCUCAGCAGUAAAAAUGCCCUCCCACUCCUGAUUUCUGCAUAGGCUGGUAUGUCUAUUGCAGUUGCUUCCCAGCCAUCAAGAGUUAGGCUCCAUCAUCUGAGAUGGUGUCUCAUUGAAUUGUACAAGUUUCUUCUGCCCUCGUUGCUGAACAUACAUUCCCCAUCCACACACACACACACAUACACACUUCACCUCAAGGCGUCACAGCUCUUGGCGAUUUUGCUGUCAUCUCCUCAUCUGAUCCACCAAGCUGAGCUGUCUGCAACUGGAAUUGCUUUGAUUAUCUUCCAGAUUCCCAGUUGUUGUAAUUCUUCAGAAGCAGAUGGUAACGUGCACUGGGAAGGAAAGAACCAAUUCAAUAUCUGAUUCAAUUUUAUAUAUAUUUAAGGUAAUUCUUUUUCUCCUUAGGAGUCAAUAACUUCAAUCCAUAGAGAUUCAAGGGAAAUCUGAUAGAAAAUGCAUUUUAGUAGACUCAAGAAAACAUUUUAGAGAAAUGAUGGAAAGUAAUUUAUAGUCAUUGUUUGAAAUUGUACUUCCAUAAUUGUACUUUCCAAGUGCUUAGUACAUUGCUCUGCACAUAGUGAGCACUUGAUAAUACUACUGAAUGAAUGAAUCAUCUAAUGAACACAUAUGAAAAUGAUUUAAAGUGUUUGCACAAAUUCUGGUUCAACCCUUUCAGGCAUACAAUAAAUGUUAUCCCCCUCCUGCAGCACAGCAUAGUGGAUAGAGCACAGGCCUGGAGUCAGAAAG